rnacentral:rRNA from 1 species
GACAGAGGGUGCAAACGUUGUUCGGAAUUACUGGGCGUAAAGGGCUCGUAGGUGGCCAACUAAGUCAGACGUGAAAUCCCUCAGCUUAACUGGGGAACCGCGUCUGAUACUGGAUGGCUUGAGAUUGGGAGAGGGAUGCGGAAUUCCUGGUGUAGCGGUGAAAUGCGCAGAUAUCAGGAAGAACACCAAUGGCGAAGGCAGCUCUCUGGGACGGUACUGACGCUGAGACGCGAAAGCGUGGGGAGCGAACAGG